rnacentral:tRNA from 1 species
AAAGAAUUAGUUAAAUUAUAACAUAAGCUUGUCAUGCUUAAAUUAUCUUACCAAGAUAUUUUUUA